UACAGAGGGGGCAAGCGUUGUUCGGAAUUACUGGGCGUAAAGGGCGCGUAGGCGGCCUUCUAAGUCGAACGUGAAAUCCCCGGGCUCAACCCGGGAACUGCGUCCGAUACUGGAAGGCUUGAAUCCGGGAGAGGGAUGCGGAAUUCCAGGUGGUAGCGGUGAAAUGCGUAGAGAUCGGGAAGAACAUCGGUGGCGAAAGCGCUCUGCUGGACUGCAACUGACACUCAGGGACGAAAGCUAGGGGAGCGAAUGGGAAUUAGACUACCGGAGUCAAGUCCAAGACCAG
rnacentral:rRNA from 1 species